CUGGCAAGAAUUACAGUUUUUUCUGGAGAACAUCACAACUCAAAUGACCUAGUAACAGAUGGGGAACUUCUUACUACGGCUGUUCCCUCCACCACUGUACCUGUCUGCUUCUGAUGGAGAUCCAACUACACAGAAGCAGGGUUUCCCAUUGUUUUACAACUUCAAGAGAUCCUCUCUCAAAAACUCCAGGUUGAGAGCUCGUGAUGAAUGCAAGCAGACAGACUGAGCCAUAAAGGUCACGGCAGUACGUGCAUCAACAUUGGCUACAAAAAGCUGAACAAAGAGAAAUUCUGCUAAACAACAACAACUUGAUGAGACCCUUUAAACCAGGCCAAUAUAUUCCUUGGUACUUACUGACUUCAAUGUGAUGAUGAACGUAGGAGAAGACAAUAAAAUUAUAGAAAACAUGGUUCAAGAUUAGGAAAUAAAAAAGCCUAAAGCUCA